rnacentral:rRNA from 1 species
AACGAACGCUGGCGGCAGGCCUAACACAUGCAAGUCGAGCGAGAUCUUCGGGUCUAGCGGCGGACGGGUGAGUAACGCGUGGGAAUAUGCCUCUUGGUACGGAAUAGCCUCGGGAAACUGGGAGUAAUACCGUAUGUGCCCUUUGGGGGAAAGAUUUAUCGCCAAGAGAUUAGCCCGCGUUGGAUUAGGUAGUUGGUGGGGUAAUGGCCUACCAAGCCGACGAUCCAUAGCUGGUUUGAGAGGAUGAUCAGCCACACUGGGACUGAGACACGGCCCAGACUCCUACGGGAGGCAGCAGUGGGGAAUCUUAGACAAUGGGGGCAACCCUGAUCGAGCCAUGCCGGGUGAGUGAUGAAGGCCUUAGGGUUGUAAAGCUCUUUAAGCUGGGAAGAUAAUGACGGUACCAGCAGAAGAAGCCCCGGCUAACUCCGUG